rnacentral:rRNA from 1 species
CAAGUCUGAUGCAGCGACGUCGUGUGGGGGAUGAAGGCCUUUCGGGUUGUAAACUCCUUUCGCUGCGGAAAAGGCAGGGUUUUGGCCUUGUUGAUGGUAGUGGGUAAAGAAGCGCCGGCUAACUACGUGCCAGCAGCCGCGGUAAUACGUAGGGCGCGAGCGUUGUCCGGAAUUAUUGGGCGUAAAGGGCUCGUAGGCGGUUUGUCGCGUCUAGCGUUUAAGGCUCGGGCUUAACCCGGGUUUGCGUUGGGUACGGGCAGGCUUGAGUGCGGUAGGGGUAACUGGAAUUCCUGGUGUAGCGGUGGAAUGCGCAGAUAUCAGGAGGAACACCGGUGGCGAAGGCGGGUUACUGGGCCGUUACUGACGCUGAGGAGCGAGAGCGUGGGGAGCGAACAGGAUUAGAUACCCUGGUAGUCCAUGCUGUAAACGUUGGGCACUAGGUGUGGGGGCUGGUUUCAUGGUUUCCGCGCCGUAGCUAACGCAUUAAGUGCCCCGCCUGGGGAGUACGGCCGCAAGGCUAAAACUCAAAGGAAUUGACGGGGGCCCGCACAAGCGGCGGAGCAUGCGGAUUAAUUCGAUGCAACGCGAAGAACCUUACCAAGGCUUGACAUGCACCGCGAGACUGCAGAGAUGUGGUUGCCUUCGGGGUGGUGUGCAGGUGGUGCAUGGUUGUCGUCAGCUCGUGUCGUGAGAUGUUGGGUUAAGUCCCGCAACGAGCGCAACCCUUGUCUCAUGUUGCCAGCACGUUUGGGUGGGGACUCGUGAGAGACUGCCGGGGUUAACUCGGAGGAAGGUGGGGAUGACGUCAAAUCAUCAUGCCCCUUAUGUCUUGGGCUUCACGCAUGCUACAUUGGUGUCUACAGAGGGUUGCUAUUCCGUGAGGUUGAGCGAAUCUCUUAAAGGGCAUCUUGGUUCGGAUCGCAGUCUGCAACUCGACUGCGUGAAGGUGGAGUCGCUAGUAAUCGCAGAUCAGCAUUGCUGCGGUGAAUACGUUCUCGGGCCUUGUACACACCGCCCGUC